rnacentral:lncRNA from 1 species
CAAGUAUAGUGAACUUAUUGCAUACAGUAUAAGAAAAAAGACCAAAGCACAAAAACUUAAUUAUAAUCACUGAACCAUGAAAAUGAGAUCAAGGUCAGAUGACACCUGCCAGUUGGACAUGAACACCAAAUAUACUAGACCGAUAUUAGAUAUACUGUUCCCAGCUCUAGGUUAAAAAAAAAAGAAGCAAAACAUUGUGUUUUC